rnacentral:lncRNA from 1 species
UUUGUAGUAAUAAGGGCAUUGUUAGACACAAAUUAGGAACACCUCAGGAACAUAAUUUGUAAAACACACUUCAAUUAGAAAGAUGUUGGCCUUAAUGGUACAAGAUAAUUGGAACAACAACUUGAUGUAAAUACUCCAUUCUUACAUGGAGAAUUAGAGGACUAAACACAUUGACGUCAAACAACAUUUUGUGAGGGAAAUUAUUGCAGGAGUGGACUACAACUUGG